CCUACGGGGGGCAGCAGUGAGGAAUAUUGGUCAAUGGCCGGAAGGCUGAACCAGCCAAGCCGCGUGAAGGACGAAGGUGCCAAGCAUUGUAAACUUCUUUUGUCAAGGGACAAAAUCAGGCUCGAGAGCCUGACCGAGGGUACUUGAAGAAAAAGCAUCGGCUAACUCCGUGCCAGCAGCCGCGGUAAUACGGAGGAGGCGAGCGUUAGCCGGAUUUAGUGGGUUUAAAGGGUGCGUAGGCGGACGGUUAAGUCAGCGGUAAAAGCCCGGGGCUCAACCCCGGCGAGCCGUUGAAACUGGCUGUGUUGAGAUGUCUAGAGGUAUACGACAUGCGCCGUGUAGCGGUGACCUGCUUAGCUAUUGCGCAGCACUCCGAUUGCGACGGCAGCAUACCGGCGGCGAUCUGACGCUGAGGCACGAAAGCGUGUGUAUCGAACAGGAUUAGAUACCCUAGUAGUC
rnacentral:rRNA from 1 species